rnacentral:misc_RNA from 1 species
AAUCCUAUCCUACCGGUAACGAGAGGAAAGGAAAAAGAAUAUACGUAUACAUUUGCGGAAAGUCAAGGAUAGAAGUCGUGGACGACCUUUGGGCCGCGUUCCUAACGAAACCGGAGUGGCUCGUUUUAAUCGCGUGCCAGAUGCUUUGAGAUAUUCAAAACUAGCAUGGUCGGCGUCGUUGUUAAUCUUCCGAAGCAUCCUCCUCUCCUCCCACUCGCUAGCUUCAAUAAAAUCUAAAAGUUAAGUACGUCGUUCUCGAGAAAGAUACGCGAGGAAGAUGCGCAAGAUCGUUAAUGUUCACAGUAAAUAGCUUUGUCGUUCGUGCAAGUGGCUAGUUUCUCGUUAUUCGGUCUCUACAAAAAAUCAUUGAAAUUUGUAACGAUCGACUAGACAUUUUUUGCAGCGUAACUGUGCCAUCGCGUAUUUUAUCUUCCGUAUCUCGUGAUCAUUUCUCACACGAUGCGAAACGAAGCGAAGCAUACGUGCGCGCGCGUACUUGCAUACACGGCUGACGUAUGCGUGCUGCUAACCAUCUCAAUUAUUUAAUUCCGCUACGAGCAAGCAAAAAUCGUCGAUCCUCGUCGCUUCUUUCUUUGCUCUCGACGAGAACGAUUUUGCCUGGCGAUAUUUCCCAUUUCAUGUGCCUCCUGUGUUCAUCGAUCGACUACACGCACCUAGCACACACACCCUCUAUGUUUAUUUGCCUUCUGUGCCACCUUCUGUGCCACCUUCUGCGCCAAUAUGCAAAUGUCUACGGUUUCUUUGUAUCCGGAUAACCGGCGAUAAUAUAAGAUGAACGACCGUGUCCGUCCUCCUAAUCUCCUUUAGACGAACGUGUUUCUUGUUAAUCCACGUCCGAAAGUAGUCGCCAGAAGUAGCCAACUAGUUUUCUUGCCUGCAUCUCUCUUUCUCUUUUAGUACCUCGACAAUAACGAACGCGGGCAAUUGAAAAGGACCGUACAAACUUAGGUUUUAGAUGAGAGAGAGAGAGAGAAAAAAAAAAGUCACGGAAGCUCGACCUUAAGGUGAUUUAUCGCGACUAAUUUAUUCCAACUUGAGUACUAGCCUGCUCGAGUUUGAGCGGCUAUUUAAAGAGCCAUUUUCCAGGCAUACUCUUUUCGCUUCUAUCUCGAGGGAGAAGUAAAACUACUCUUGGAUAUUGCAGGUACAUAUUUAGAGAGGAAGCUAGUGGUCGGACGUGCAACAUCUUUCAACUAAAUGUUAUCGCAUUUAUCUUUCUCCCUCUUGAUCCCUCUCUAUCUCCUUCUUCUAUAUGAAAGAAAAAUAUUGGUAUUUAAUCGUACGUCGAGCUGAGGUAGAGGCGCCGAUGGAAACUAGCCAAAAGUGUAUCGUCCUCGCGACGGUCACGGUGAACGUAAUCGUCUUUGCUCGCAAAUCCACCCCGCAUAUGGUGCAGACAGGAAUGGCUGCGCCGUACGGUGGGGGUGUCUUCCCACCACCGGUAAACGGUGUCGCGGGUGUUGUUGGGGCAGCCGGGGCGGCAGGCGAGGUUAAACCACCCCCACCGGUACCGGUUAAAGAAGAUAAUAGCGGAGCGGGUCAGCAGGCUCCUCCAAGCGGGGCCCAGGUAGCAGCCCCAACGAGUGGACCACAUCCUUCGGCACCAGGGCAACCAACGGCAGCCAGUUUUAGUCCACCUCCGCCGCCGAAUGGCGUCGAUCAACAAGCCAUCUCGGAGGUCUUUCAGGCGGCAGUGGCUGCAGCGGCCGCCGCCGCGGCCAACAGCGGUGGACAACAAUCUUCUGCGACGCAAGGAGGAAACGAGGCAAGCCAAGAAGGAGCAGUCGAAGCUGGCUCUCUCGUGCCGGUGACUUCCGGUGCGACGACCCCGGCCACUGUAACGCAAGCCACGGAUUUGAAGGGCCAACCUAAGCGCCUUCACGUCAGCAAUAUACCCUUCCGUUUUCGAGAUCCCGAUUUAAGGGCAAUGUUCGGGCAAUUCGGCCCGAUCCUCGACGUGGAAAUCAUUUUUAACGAGAGAGGAAGCAAGGGAUUCGGUUUUGUAACAUUCGCAAAUAGUGCUGACGCGGACCGGGCACGUGAGAGGCUACACGGCACCGUGGUUGAGGGCAGAAAGAUUGAGGUGAACAAUGCAACGGCGAGAGUGCAGACGAAAAAACCACCGACGGUACCCAACGUUUGCGUUCAAUGGCCAGAGGGAUACAGGUUGCCGGCGAUGCCGUGGAGCUGGCUGGGUGCUGCGGCGCCAUCGGCAGCCGCGGCUGCGGCCGUUGCAGCAGCCGCGGUCACCCCAUCCCCCGCAGCUGCACCCCUCGUCCUUACACCAAGGGCGGCGGCGAGACGAAGCUGCAGCAUUAAGAGGAGUGGCAAUUCAAAGGGGAAGAGUUGGAGCGGCAAGGACAGCUUUUCCGAGCAGUGCGGCGGCGUUGGCGUUGGCCAGAAACCCAGGGCCGCUCGCGGCUGCGGCCGCUGCAACGGCCCUUCAUCCCUUUGCGCCUGCUGUCUACUAUGACCCCUUCUUGGCAGCGCACGCAGCGACACAGGACCCCAACUACAGGCUACAGGCAGCUGCAGCGGCGGCCGCAGCAUCGCCAUUGCUAAAGACGCCACUCUCGACGGC